rnacentral:lncRNA from 1 species
ACUGAGCACAUCUCCUCGGUGGGUUGGCUCCUUUAUAAUUCAGUCAGCCUCCUUCGGAGGGAGCAGGUGUUUCUUCGGGAUGAGACACCUUGGGAAGCAGAAUGCACACGUGGGAAAAGCCUGUCACCUCCCAGCCAGGGAGGGACGCUCGGGUGGAGGGAAGGGGAAGGCGCUCACUGUAAGAAGACAGGCAAGGAGAGAGCGAGACGCCUUCCCACCCAGCACCAGCUCUUACAAUUCCACGUCUGCUCUCCACAAUUCCAUGUUCCAGGGCCUUCCCUCGAGCCUUAACAGCUCCCCUCCAGGUCUGCCCUUUCAGAGGGCUCGAACUGUCAUGAAGGGCUCUCUGCUCUGGACUCCUCAGAGCCCGAGGUGAAGGCUUAAGUGUACCUGUUGUUUUAGGAAGGUCACUGGAGAGGGAGCCAUGAUUUCUUUUUUGUUUGUUUGUUUGCAGACAGCAUCUUUCUAUGUAAUCCAGGCUGGCCUUGAACUCACUCUGUAGCCCAGGCUGACCUCACACUGCCUGAGAUCCUCCUGCCUCAGUCCCCCAAGUGCUGGGCUUACAGGCAUGCGCCGCCACGCCCAGCUCCAUGAAUCCAAUCCUGGGCAGGGUGCUGAGUCGUCACAUGAGGCUGCAUUUGGCAGAAAAGACAACCAUGUGGCACUAACUACUCCAGUGACUGUGGCCUUCAGUGACAUGUGGCUGCUGGUGGACUGAACAAGAGCACACAGCACUGAACUGAGGAGAGACAUCCCAGCUUUGUUAAGCCCCAGCUCUGUCACUCGUAGUUAUCAAACUUGGACAAGAUGAGGUGCUUUCCUAAAAGAAAGGGUUCCGGUUUGGGACUAUGUUCUUCUUGGAAUCCAGUAACAAAUCUCAAGAGAACCCACUUGCAGGCCUGGGAGGAGGAGCUCAGGUCCUCACCAGGGAUGGCUGCUGUUCUCAUCAGGGGACCUCUGAACUUUGCUGUGAACUUCACUUCCUGGCUCCAGUGCAGAUCCCUCAGCCUGGCUGUCCUCAGAUGUCACCUCCUGCGCAGCCUUCCCUGAUUCCACGCAGACCUUGUCCUUCCUGCAUCUGCAGCCCUGAAGCACUUUCUCAGGCCAGUGCCAUUUUCCUCCUACUCCCCAACUUCAUUUUGACUUUGUUUUCCUUCAUCCCUUUGUUGUUUUCUUGGGUAAGUUUCAGUGGUUCCAUUCACCCAUCCUACCUCCUGCAUUCCCCUUGUCUCCCCAGCCCUGGUCCCCAAACCCUGGAGUAA